UACCUGGUUGAUCCUGCCAGUAGUCAUAUGCUUGUCUCAAAGACUAAGCCAUGCAUGUGCAAGUAUAAACGCUUGAAUCGUGAGACUGCGAAUGGCUCAUUAAAUCAGUUAUAGUUUAUUUGAUGGUGUUCCGCUACGUGGAUAACCGUGGUAAUUCUAGAGCUAAUACAUGCAAAAGGUCCCGACUGUCACGGGAGGGACGUAUUUAUUAGAUCCAAAACCGACCCGGUCGGUGCCUCACGGCCCGGCCGGCGUUCUCGGGUGAUUCAUGGUAACUGUUCGAAUCGCUCGGCCUCCGCGCCGGCGAUGGUUCAUUCAAGUUUCUGCCCUAUCAACUUUCGAUGGUAGCGUAUUGGGCUACCAUGGUCGCAACGGGUGACGGAGAAUUAGGGUUCGAUUCCGGAGAGGGAGCCUGAGAAACGGCUACCACAUCCAAGGAAGGCAGCAGGCGCGCAAAUUACCCAAUCCCGACUCGGGGAGGUAGUGACAAGAAAUAACAAUGCCGGUCCCAUAGAGGUCCGGCAAUUGGAAUGAGUACAAUCCAAACCCCUUAACGAGGAACAAUUGGAGGGCAAGUCUGGUGCCAGCAGCCGCGGUAAUUCCAGCUCCAAUAGUGUAUGCUAAAGCUGCUGCAGUUGAAGCGCUCGUAGUUGUACGUCGGGGCCCGGGCUCCGUCCUCCCUCGCGGAUGGGCGCCCCGCUCGGUCGUCGCGGUCCGCCGAGAGGCGAGCACUGCGCGGCGGCCCCCGUCUUUCUCGGGAGCCCCGGCUGCUCUUGACUGAGCGGUCGGGGGUUUCGGGACGUUUACUUUGAACAAAUUAGAGUGUUCCAAGCAGGCCGGUCGCUUUGAAUACGUUAGCAUGGAAUAAUGGAAUAGGGCCGCUCGUCCUAUUUUGUUGGUUUUCGGGACGGCAGUCAUGGUCGAUAGGGACAGUUGGGGGCAUUCGUAUUCAGUUGUCAGAGGUGAAAUUCUCGGAUUUGCGGAAGACGAGCGACUGCGAAAGCAUUUGCCAAGGAUGUUUUCAUUAAUCAAGAACGAAAGUUGGGGGUUCGAAGACGAUCAGAUACCGUCGUAGUCCCAACCGUAAACGAUGCCGGCCGGGGAUCGGCGGACGUCGGGUACGACUCCGUCGGC
rnacentral:ncRNA from 1 species